rnacentral:rRNA from 1 species
AUCUUAAAAUCUAAAAGAUUUGGCGGUAUUUUAGUCUUUUCAGAGGAACCUGUUUCUUUAUUGAUAAUCCACGAUUAUAACUACUUUUUUUAUUAACUUAUAUAUCGUUGUUAAAAAAAUUUUUUUAAAUAAUUUUUUCAGAUCAAGGUAUAGUUUAUAGAAAAGUGAAAAUGGGUUACAUUAAAAAUUUUAAUUAAAUUGGAUUUGAAAGUAAGCUCUAAAAUAUGUACAUAUCGCCCGUCGCUUUCAUUUAAAGUGAAAUAAGUCGUAACAAAGUAGAUUUAUUGGAAAAUGAAUCUAGAAUGCAAUUUAAAGCUUUGUAAGCAUUUUAUUUACAUUAAAAAGAUUAUUCUUAUGAAUUAAAUUGAAAAAUUUUAUUAUUAUUUUUUUUUUAAUAUUUAUAAAUAAAAAAAGUGUUUUAUUAAUUUUGAAAAAAUAUAAUUAUAGUUAAAAGUAAUGUAAAUGAAUUAAUGUUUUUAAUUUAAAGAAUAAUUAAUUUUUAGUACCUUGUGUAUCAGGGUUGAUUAAUUUAUUUUUCCCGAACCUAUAAGAGUUAAUUUUAUUGUAAAAUAAAUAUUUAUAAUUUUAAAUUGGAAAUUAAAAGUUAUUCGUUUAUAGUAUAUCUGGUUUUCUUUUAGUUUAAUUUAAUUAUUUUAAAAAUAUAAAUUUAUUAAGGGAUAAGCUUUUAUUUUUUUUCUAAAAUUUCCAUUUUUUAAAAAAGUUGUAUAAUUAGAAUUUUUAAUCUUUUUAAUUAUGUUAUAAUUUGUUUAGAUUUUAAAUGAGAUUAAUAUAAAAAUUUAUUUUUAUAUAAAAAAAUGAUUAAAUUAGUAAGAUUAUAUAAAGGAAUUCGGCAAAACUAGUUUUCACCUGUUUAUUAAAAACAUGUCUUUUUGAUAAUAAUUUAAAGUCUGACCUGCCCUCUGAUUGAAUGGCCGCAGUAUUUUGACUGUGCAAAGGUAGCAUAAUAAUUAGUUUUUUAAUUGAAAGCUGGAAUGAAAGGUUUGAUGAAAAAUAAGCUGUCUAUAAAAUUUUAAUUUUAAGUGAAAAUGCUUAAAUUUUUUAUAAAGACGAGAAGACCCUAUAGAGUUUUUUGAUUGGGGUGAUUUUAAAAUUAAAAAAACUUUUAAAUUUAGUGAUUUUUUGAUCUUUGAUUAUUAGAAUAAAUUACCUUAGGGAUAACAGCGUAAUUUUUUUUUAAAGUUCAUA